GCGGGCAUGAUGGAAUUGGUAGACAUGUGAGAUUUAGGUUCUCAUGGAGCGAUCCGUCGGGGUUCGAGUCCCCGUGCCCGCACCA
rnacentral:tRNA from 4 species